rnacentral:rRNA from 1 species
GAUGAACGCUGGCGGCGUGCCUAAUACAUGCAAGUCGAGCGAACGGACGAGAAGCUUGCUUCUCUGAUGUUAGCGGCGGACGGGUGAGUAACACGUGGAUAACCUACCUAUAAGACUGGGAUAACUUCGGGAAACCGGAGCUAAUACCGGAUAAUAUUUUGAACCGCAUGGUUCAAAAGUGAAAGACGGUCUUGCUGUCACUUAUAGAUGGAUCCGCGCUGCAUUAGCUAGUUGGUAAGGUAACGGCUUACCAAGGCAACGAUGCAUAGCCGACCUGAGAGGGUGAUCGGCCACACUGGAAUUGAGACACGGUCCAGACUCCUACGGGAGGCAGCAGUAGGGAAUCUUCCGCAAUGGGCGAAAGCCUGACGGAGCAACGCCGCGUGAGUGAUGAAGGUCUUCGGAUCGUAAAACUCUGUUAUUAGGGAAGAACAUAUGUGUAAGUAACUGUGCACAUCUUGACGGUACCUAAUCAGAAGGCCACGGCUAACUACGUG